GUAGGAGGCGAGCGUUAUCCGGAUUCACUGGGCGUAAAGCGCGUGCAGGUGGCUUGGUAAGUUGGGCGUGAAAUCUCCCGGCUCAACUGGGAGAGGUCGUCCAAUACUACCAGGCUAGAGAGCAGAAGAGGAAGAUGGAAUUCCCGGUGUAGUGGUGAAAUGCGUAGAUAUCGGGAGGAACACCAGUGGCGAAGGCGAUCUUCUGGUCUGUUUCUGACACUCAGACGCGACAGCUAGGGUAGUAAACGGGAUUAGAGACCCCGGUAAUCCUAGCCGUAAACGAUGUGAACUUGGCGUUGGUGGGUUAAACUCCAUCAGUGCCGCAGCAAACGCGAUAAGUUCACCGCCUGGGGACUACGGCCGCAAGGUUAAA
rnacentral:rRNA from 1 species